GACGAACGCUGGCGGCGUGCUUAACACAUGCAAGUCGAACGGAAAGGCCCUGCUUUUGUGGGGUGCUCGAGUGGCGAACGGGUGAGUAACACGUGAGUAACCUGCCCUUGACUUUGGGAUAACUUCAGGAAACUGGGGCUAAUACCGGAUAGGAGCUCCUGCUGCAUGGUGGGGGUUGGAAAGUUUCGGCGGUUGGGGAUGGACUCGCGGCUUAUCAGCUUGUUGGUGGGGUAGUGGCUUACCAAGGCUUUGACGGGUAGCCGGCCUGAGAGGGUGACCGGCCACAUGGGGACUGAGGUACGGCCCAGACUGCUACGGGGGGCAGCGGUGGGGAAUAUUGCGCAAUGGGCGGAGGGGUGAUGCAGGAACGCCGCGUGCGGGAUGACGGCCUUCGGGUUGUAAACCGCUUUCGCCUGUGACGAAGCGUGAGUGACGGUAAUGGGUAAAGAAGCACCGGCUAACUACGU
rnacentral:rRNA from 1 species